rnacentral:tRNA from 1 species
AGUCCUAUGGUGAAAUUUGCAAUCAUGUGGGGCUUUGGACCCCGUGUUCUUGGUUCGAAUCCGGGUAGGACUA